GUGCACCAGGCGCGAAACCUCCGCAAUACACGAAAGUGUGACGGGCCAUCCCGAGUGCCGUCCGCUGAGGACGGCUUUUCCCCAGUGUACAUAGCUGGGGGAAUAAGGAGAGGGCAAGCCUGGUGUCAGCCGCCGCGGUAAUACCAGCUCUCCGAGUGGUGGGGACGCUUAUUGGGCCUAAAGCAUCCGUAGCCGGCUGGGCAAGUCCUCCGUUAAAUCCAACGAUUCAAUCGUUGGGCUGCGGGGAUACUGUCCAGCUUGGGGGCGGGAGAGGCCGACGGUAUUCCCCGGGGUAGGGGUGAAAUCCUAUAAUCCCGGGAGGACCACCAGUGGCGAAGGCUGUCGGCUAGAACGCGCCCGACGGUGAGGGAUGAAAGCUGGGGGAGCGAACCGGAUUAGAUA
rnacentral:rRNA from 1 species